UACGUAGGGGGCAAGCGUUAUCCGGAUUUACUGGGUGUAAAGGGAGCGUAGGCGGCGCGUUAAGUCUGAUGUGAAAACCCGCGGCUCAACUGCGGGACUGCAUUGGAAACUGGCGGGCUUGAGUGCCGGAGAGGCAAGCGGAAUUCCUAGUGUAGCGGUGAAAUGCGUAGAUAUUAGGAGGAACACCAGUGGCGAAGGCGGCUGUCUGGUCUGCAACUGACGCUGAGGCUCGAAAGCAUGGGUAGCGAACAGG
rnacentral:rRNA from 1 species